rnacentral:rRNA from 1 species
UGAACUUAAGCAUAUCAAUAAGCGGAGGAAAAGAAACUAACAAGGAUUCCCCUAGUAACUGCGAGUGAAGCGGGAAAAGCUCAAAUUUAAAAUCUGGCGGUCUCCGGCCGUCCGAGUUGUAAUCUAGAGAAGUGUUAUCCGCGCUGGACCGUGUACAAGUCUCCUGGAAUGGAGCGUCAUAGAGGGUGAGAAUCCCGUCUUUGACACGGACUGCCAGGGCUUUGUGAUGCGCUCUCAAAGAGUCGAGUUGUUUGGGAAUGCAGCUCAAAAUGGGUGGUAAAUUCCAUCUAAAGCUAAAUAUUGGCGAGAGACCGAUAGCGAACAAGUACCGUGAGGGAAAGAUGAAAAGAACUUUGGAAAGAGAGUUAAACAGUACGUGAAAUUGCUGAAAGGGAAACGCUUGAAGUCAGUCGCGUUGGCCGGGGAUCAACCUUGCUUUUGCUGGGCGUACUUUCCGGUUGACGGGUCAGCAUCAAUUUUGACCGUUGGAUAAAGUCCAGGGGAAUGUGGCAUCUUCGGAUGUGUUAUAGCCCUUGGUCGCAUACAACGGUUGGGAUUGAGGAACUCAGCACGCCGCAAGGCCGGGUACUUGUACCACGUUCGUGCUUAGGAUGCUGGCAUAAUGGCUUUAAUCGACCNGUCUUGAAACACGGACCAAGGAGUCUAACAUGCCUGCGAGUGUUUGGGUGGAAAACUCGGACGCGUAAUGAAAGUGAAAGUUGAGAUCCCUGUCGCGGGGAGCAUCGACGCCCGGACCAGACCUUUUGUGACGGAUCCGCGGUAGAGCAUGUAUGUUGGGACCCGAAAGAUGGUGAACUAUGCCUGAAUAGGGUGAAGCCAGAGGAAACUCUGGUGGAGGCUCGUAGCGAUUCUGACGUGCAAAUCGAUCGUCAAAUUUGGGUAUAGGGGCGAAAGACUAAUCGAACCAUCUAGUAGCUGGUUCCUGCCGAAGUUUCCCUCAGGAUAGCAGAAACUCAUUUCAGAUUUAUGUGGUAAAGCGAAUGAUUAGAGGCCUUGGGGUUGAAACAACCUUAACCUAUUCUCAAACUUUAAAUAUGUAAGAA